AUUGAACGCUGGCGGCAGGCCUAACACAUGCAAGUCGAGCGGAUGAAGAGAGCUUGCUCUCUGAUUUAGCGGCGGACGGGUGAGUAAUGCCUAGGAAUCUGCCUGGUAGUGGGGGAUAACGUUCCGAAAGGAACGCUAAUACCGCGUACGUCCUACGGGAGAAAGCAGGGGACCUUCGGGCCUUGCGCUAUCAGAUGAGCCUAGGUAGGAUUAGCUAGUUGGUGAGGUAAUGGCUCACAAAGGCGACGAUCCGUAACUGGUCUGAGAGGAUGAUCAGUCACACUGGAACUGAGACACGGUCCAGACUCCUACGGGAGGCAGCAGUGGGGAAUAUUGGACAAUGGGCGAAAGCCUGAUCCAGCCAUGCCGCGUGUGUGAAGAAGGUCCUCGGAUUGUAAAGCACUUUAAGUUGGGAGGAAGGGCAGUAAGUUAAUACCUUGCUGUUUUGACGUUACCGACAGAAUAAGCACCGGCUAACUUCGUGCCAGCAGCCGCUGUAAUAC
rnacentral:rRNA from 1 species